rnacentral:rRNA from 1 species
UACAGAGGUGGCAAGCGUUGUUCGGAAUUACUGGGCGUAAAGGGCGCGUAGGCGGUCUUGUAAGUCUUGUGUGAAAUCCCUCGGCUCAACUGAGGAACUGCACGGGAUACUGCGAGACUUGAGUUCGGGAGAGGGAAGCGGAAUUCCGGGUGUAGCGGUGAAAUGCGUAGAUAUCCGAAGGAACACCGGUGGCGAAGGCGGCUUCCUGGACCGACACUGACGCUGAGGCGCGAAAGCUAGGGGAGCAAACGGG